rnacentral:tRNA from 1 species
AGCUCAGCUGGGAGAGCGUACGGUUCGCAUCCGUAAGGUCGAGAGUUCGAUCCUCUUC